GACAACCCGUGUGGAGCAAGUUUGUAAGUCUAUGGGCUGUAAGGUGAUAAAAGUGAAGCCCCUUUCAGAAGAAGAGGCAUUGAUACUAUUCUUGAGUGAAGUUGGACCUAACAUAGUGCAGAAUCAAACUUUAAUGCCAACUUUGAAGCUUGUUGUCAAGGAAUGUGCAGGUCUGCCUCUUACAAUUGUCGUCAUAGCUGGUACAUUGAGAGGAGAAGAUGACCCUCUUAUUUGGAAAAACACACUCAGGGAAUUGAAAGAGAGAAUAUGGAAAGUGAAAGAAGGGGAAGAUAAAGUGAUCGAGAGUUUGAAAGUUAGCUUCAAUCACUUAAAAGACGAGAAAAUGAAGCAUUGUUUCUUACAUUGCGCAUUAUAUCCUGAAGAUUUUCAAAUUGGGAAGGAUGGGCUAAUUGAGUGCUGGAUUGAAGAGGGAUUCAUAGAUGAUAUGAGUACAAGACAAGAAAUGAAAGAUAAGGGCCAUGUUAUUUUGAAGAAAUUAGAAGAUAAUUGCUUGUUGGAAAAUGUUUCGAGUGAAAGAGUAAAAAUGCAUGAUGCAGUGAGAGACAUGGCAUUGUCGAUCACAAGAAUGAAUCCUCGAUGUAUGAUACAAGCAGGUUCGCAAUUAGAAGAGUUACCAGAAAAGGUGCAGUGGAGUCCGGAUAUUGAGAAAGUGUCACUUAUGUAUAACUCCAUAUCAGAAAUUUCCACAGAUGUGCUGCCCACAAAAUGUCAACUGCUCACAACCUUGUUAUUGCAGCAUAACCCUAUAAAGAAGAUCCCGUAUUCUUUCUUCAUAAACAUGCCCUGUCUUUGUGUCCUAAAUUUGUCCUAUACGGUGAUCGAGAGUUUACCAAAUUCCAUCUCUGAACUAAAGAACCUCACAACAUUGUUGCUUUCUGGCUGUUCUGGAUUAAGAGAUCUGCCUUGUCUUUCGAUGCUUCAAGAAUUGAAGAAGUUGGAUCUUUCUGGGACUAUAAUUGAGGAAGUCCCUGAAGGAAUGGAUAUGCUGAUAAAGCUAAGAUAUCUUGAUCUUAGAGUGCGCACUCUGAAAGAGAUACCCGCUGGACUUUUACCAAAACUAGUUCACCUUCAGCACUUGGGUUUUUAUGAGAACAAUGAAAAAACAAGUCUAAAAGCAGAGGAGAUGGAACCAUUGAAGAAGUUGGAGUGCUUUACCGGACGUUUCGAAAACAUCAAUGAAUUCAAUAAGUUCAUCUCCUCAAUGCAACAAAGUAAGAAAAAUCUCAUCAAUUACCAUUUACAGGUGGGCUCAUAUAAUAGUGUGGAUUGUGAAAGGGGUAAAAGAGUAUCAAUUGGAGGAGUCCAGAAUUGGGAAGGUGAGUUAAUUAUGCACCCAAUUGAAAUUCAAGAGUUGAAUAUUGUAAAGUGCGACUAUUUGAGAAGCUUAGUCGAUGACAAUUCUUCCUUCAAAAAUGCGAUUGACUUGAGGGUUUGUUGGAUUUGGGGGUGUGAAGGGAUAGAGUGUGUUGUUUCCCUGUCCUCUUUUGCCUCUUCUUCCGCUCAUCCAUUUCAGAGCCUCGAGGUGUUGGGUCUUUAUGAUCUGCCAAAGUUGAGUGCCCUUAUUAUGAAAGAUGAAGGAAUUGGUUCAGCAACAACAUCAACAUUGGCUCCGUCUGCCACCUUUUCCCAUCUCAAGGAAAUUACGAUAUUCAAAUGCUCAAGGAUGAAGACGUUGCCUCCACAUUGGUUGCUUCCAAACCUCCAAAACCUGGAAGAAAUAUCAGUGUCACACUGUGAUAAGGUAGUAGAAAUAUUGGGAGCAGCACCAUCAGAAGUUGAAGAAAAAGGGAGUGAUGCAUUAAUCAAAUUCCAUCUUCCCAAAUUGAGACAAUUGAGACUACGUACGUUACCAAAUUUGAAGAGCAUUUGCAGCAAAAGUGGAGUCAUGGUUUGUGAUUCUCUCCAACUUAUCCUGAUUAUUAAUUGUCAUAAACUGAAGAGAAUUCCUCCAUUUGUUCCCCUUGUUGGGAAUGGGCAGCCAUUUGCAUAUGCUCCACCUUCUCUUACCAUCAGGUCAAGCACAAAAUGGUGGGAAUCGUUGGAGUGGGAUGACCAUCCAAACUUUAAAAAUGUUCUCAAGCAUGAAAGGUAGGAACCAUUUAUAGUUAGUUUAUUUUUUUUAUUUUUAUAAAUCUAAUUUCUCCAUUUUAAUAAAAUUUCAGAUGAAUUUGGUGAUGUUGUUGAAGAGAAAGAUAAAAGGGUUGGUGGGAAAGAAGUAGGGGGGAGGAUUGUGCAAAAGAGUGGAGAAAAGGAAUGAUGGAAGAGCAUGGAGACUGAGAAGCAAAGGUAAAUAAGAGAUCAAACUGUCUCCACUUUGUAAACAUUGUCCCUCUCUUACCAUUCCUUCUGUUCUCUUUUUCGUAUAAUGUAAAAGUUAUGUCAAGUAACUGAAGAGGUAAAAAACAAAUAAAUUUGCUUAAUAUUUUUUCUAUGUUUGUUUUGAAAGAAUGAGUAUUGAAUAUGGAUAAUAUAGAGAAAUUUUGUAGGGUUUAAAAAAAAGUAUCAAGAUGAAAAAAAAUAUAUAAUUUAAAUGUCAAUUGAUAAAUUAAGUGUAUUCAAAAUAAUGGUAUUUUAGAUAGCAAAGGUAUUGAAAAUUUAAAGUGAUAAAUUACCUUUUUAUCAUUAUAAAUAAAUACCAUAAUUUCUUUUUAUGCUGAAAAAAAAUUUGAAAAUUUAUGUUGUUUUCUUGAAAAUUUAUCAAUUUAUAUUGUUUUUUUACAAAUAGAAAGGAAAACGCGUCUUAUAUGACAUGUUUUCUCUGAUCUUCCAGAGAAAACAUGAGACGCGUUUUAUUAUCUUUCCUAAAAAGCGCUCUGUAAGAGCAACUAAGGACAAUGAAUCACGACGUUCAUGUCUUUCGUCAAUUGUGCAUAAUUUUGAUUGGUACAAUAACACAUUUAGCCCUUGAUGUUUACAUAUUUUGUUAGUUUGGUCUUGAUUCUAAAAAAAAAUCAACAAAUUCAGUCUCAACAUUUACACAUUUACAAAAAUAUGACGGGCUAAUUUUGUUAUCAUAUCAAUCAAAUUUAUGUAAAGUUGAUGAAAAACAUUAAUAUUGUGAUUAAUUGCUCACUUUCAAAAUUGGUAGGGAUUAAAUUGCUUCGAUUUUUUUGGAGGGAGCAAUUUGCUGAAUAUCAAAAUUGAGAGGCACUAGAGAGGUCAUUUUACCUAGUUUAAUAAUUAAAUGACAUGUUAAAUCUUAUGUGACAUAAUUUAAAAUGAAAAUUAAAAAAAUGUAGAAAUAGUUGUUUUAAAAAUCUAGGUUUUGAAGUUUUUACAAAAUUUUUAUUGUUCAUUUUUUUUAAAAUUUCAGUUUUAUUUAAUUUUAGUUUCUUUAAAAUUUUUAUUUUAAAAUUAGCUAUAUAAAAUUUAACGUGUCAUUUAAUGAUUUUAAUAAUAAAAUGAUAUGAUUAAUAUAACAUCAAUAGUUUAGAAAUGUAAUUAGAUCAGUUUGAAGUUUGAAAAUAGAUUUAAAAUAAUGGUCAAAAUUUAGGGGUGGUUGAUGUAAUUAACUCAUUUCUAAUGGUGCUAAUAAUUAAGUCUGCUAUAGGACAAAGUGAAAAAGUGGAAAGCAGAGUUAAAAUAUAAUUGCAUAAUAUAUGGAUGGGGCCAUUACCAAACGAUGAAGCAAAAGAAAUGAAGGGCCAUCAUACUUUUAUUUAGAAAUUUUAUAAAUUUUAGUUGUUAAACAUGUCAAGUAAUUUGAUUUGGUGUGGUGGUUAAGUGCCUUGAAUGUUUGCUUUGGGUCUUGGGUUCAAUUUUUUUGUUAAAUUUUUCCUAUUUAUAUUAUGUUGAACUUGAGCCUUAGGUCUUAUCUCUUAUUUUCAAUGAUGAAUCUGGUAAGAGUUUAGCUUAUCACCAAUUUAAAUUUUAUAAAAUCUGGUAAGUGGGAUUUAGAUUAACUUAAAUCUUUUUAUUUAAUUUUACUAAAUCUCUAUUUUCACUCAUUGUUUCAACCGUCCACACUCUCACCCCACUUUGUAUGCUACUUUCUUUUGUUUCCCUAUUCUGCCGUUUUAUCUUCUUUUCUCUUCCUCCUUUCUCCUCUUUGAUUAUUCCUGAAUACUACCAUUUAUUUUGUGAGUUCUGUCACUUGGAUUGUAUUCUGUUUGCAGUGUAAGUUUUAUUUGGUUACUUUUGUUCUCUUCCCAUUAAUAGUUUAGUUUUAUUUCGUUUCUUGAACAAGUUGAGUUUGUGUUGGUAUUUUCUGUUCAUUAUCAUGAUUAGUAUUUUUGUGGUUCUCGAUUAGGCGAAAGGUGUGAGAAUCCUAACCCUCCAGCAAAGUAGUCACAAUUUUUUACGUUGUUUUGGAGAACUAAGUAUUCGAAUUCUAUUUUAGGGGCUGAAAUUUUGAUUCAACGAUGUUAUUUUGGAUAAGUAUUGUUAGUUAAUCCGUGUGGUUUGAUGAACGUUUAUAGGAUUCGUGAGUUCCAAUAGAGCGGUUGAUCAAAUCAGCAAUAGGUGUAUGAAAUUAACCUGAAAACUCAAUCGAAACUCGAGAAAAUUAAGGGCCACACAACUAUGUGGGUAUUUUGGCCAAUUUUAAGCCCCAAUUAGGGGCCGAUUAAAGGACUCAAAUAUUAUUGGGUCCAUAGCAAUCAUAUAAGCCCAAAAAAAAAUGUAAGUUUUAGUAUAUAUAUACAUGGCUAAGCUUAGGAGGUAUGUUAAGUAGGUUGUAUACAAAUCAUAUGCUAUGUUAUGUUCCUUAUAAAAAUAUGUGUAUGCAUGUCAUAUGACUUAUGAUAUAUGUAUUUAUGAUAUUAUAAUUAUGAUUAUGCCUAUGUUUUGGGAUGGGUUAUGAUAUGAUGGAGGAAGUAUUAUAUGAUAGUUUUUACUACAACUAUGGCCACUAGACCAUAAAAUGUCUAUCUGACAGCUUAGUUGCAUAUUUAUGAGUGGCAUACCGUCACAUAUUGGUGUGAUUGGAUGGAUGGACUCUUAUAGUCCUAAUUGGUGAUAUUGCAUGGACGGAGAUGGCAUGUAGCAGUUGGAGGUAUGAUAUCAUAUUAUAUGAGAUAUGAUAGGAUAAGAUAAGAUAUGAAACAUGUUAUAACAUGAUAUGAAAAUCGAUAUGAUAUAAGAUGUGCUCCGAUAUGCUAUAAGAUGUGCUCCGAUAUGCUAUGAUACAUUCUGAUUUUUAUAUAUACGACGAUGUGUGGGUCAAAUCACAUACUGGAUGUUAAGCUCACACCUUUGUUAAUUCUGUUUUAGGUGAUCUUCAAAGUUAGGAUUGGAUGAUGACUAUAGAGCUCGUAUUUCACUCUUUCGGUUUAAGUAUGCAUUGGACUCUCUUUUGUAACUUUUUGGGCUUUUGGAUAUUUUAAAUUUAUUUGGGACGCUAAAAAUUAUUUUGGCAUUUAUUUUUCAAAAGUUUUAACUUUUACCGAUACUUAAAUCAAGACAACUAAAAAUAAACCAUAGUUAUAAGGUAAAUUUGCUAUAAUGCUUUCUGCUGCAAGUUUUAAGGUCAAUUUGCUAUAAUGCUGUCCGCUGCAAGUUUUAUUGAAAUUUGCUAAGAUGUUUUAUCUCACAAACAAAGUAAGUAAAUUAAAUGCAUUUUGGUAAAAUUAACAAAUAUUGCUUACUUCAAUGUAUUCACGGGUUUUCAAAAAUGGUACAUCUUCAACGGGUUAAUUAAACUUGUUUUCUUUUGAGUUAAAUAGUUUUUGCCAAAAUGAAGUAAUAUUGUUUUCACACGCAAUGUAAUCUCCACAAUCUGAUUAUAACAUUUAGGUCAUGUUUGGAUGUUAGAAUUAGAGCUUUAAAAAAUAAUUACUUUUUCUUUUAGAAGUUAAUGUCAUUGUAGGGUUUGAUGGGUUAUCUUCAACUUUAACAGUUAAGCUUCCAAAGUCGAUGAUCCUAUUUAAAUAUAUAAAAAAAAUUUAUAUUUAAAAGAUGUUCUUAUAAGGAAAAAAAGAUGUUAUUUAUGAUUGUUGCAUGCAAUUAUAUUAUUUUAUGAUUCGGGUUAUAUAUGAUUGUUGUCAUGACAUAAAAGUGUUUAAUUAAUAUUUUUAAAGUUUUAAAAAAUAAUAAUAAAUAUUUUUUAAUAAUUUUAAAAUUUAAAAGAUAAGUUAUAUCUAUUUUUAAAACCAUAAAAAUUAUUUAAAAACUAAUGUAUCAUCCGUAACAAAUCAUACAUCAUUAACACAUAUUGGGGCAUGGGAAAGCUUUUAAAAAUUUGAACUCAAAUAGUGCUCUACAUGGUUCAUCAAGGCAUGGCAAGUAAGCGAUAGUUGAUUGCCUGUAUUUCUCUCAUAAUUUGUCACUGCAAAAUCUACUACAUUUCAAAUUAACUGAUGUCAAGUAGAAAACUAAAGCAGAAGAGGAUCAAGUAUUUCCCUCACUAUCUGUUUCAAUGCUAAAAUUCCACCUCUCCUCUCCAACACCUCAUUGGUAGCCUUACUCAUCAUAACCAACACAACCCUUUCUUUUAUCUCGCCACAUAAAAGAAAUUCAAAAUAAUUUUUAAAUUUUUAUAAAUUUGCAAAAAUUUAUAUUUUAAAAAUUUCUAAAAAUAUAUAUAAAUAAAGUUGAAAUUUUAAAAUUUUCUGAAAUAAUAAUUUUAGCACUUACAUAAGUUAAUUAAUGAUUCAAAUUUAUCAAUAUUUAUUUAAGUUUUUUAAUAUAUAUGGUUUUAAAUCUAGAUGAAAUAUUUUAAUUUGACAUGUUUAAUUUUUUAAGUUAACUUAAACAAUUUCACUCUAUUUGAAUUUCAUUUCAUUCGAUUUGAUUUGAAAAAAUUUCAUCUCAAGUUAAGGUGAUAAAAUAAAACCUAUAAACUCGAUUAACUCAAAAUGUUUUCACUCAAUUGUGAGGUGAUUGAUCAUUUUAUUAGUAAAAAGACAUAUAAUUAUUCAUCUAAUAUUAUAACUAUUCAAACAGUAUAAUUCUUUUUAAAAAAUUAAGUGAUAUAAUUAUUGACCAAUGACCAAAAGAUUUAUCUUUAGAUUAAUUACAUCCAUUCAUUUAUAGUUAUUAUUAAAUAAAUAAUUAAAAAACUCCUAUCUAAUUUCAACAAUUAAAAAAAACUUUAAAUUAAAAUUAAAUUAUUAAGAUUCUAAUAAUAUAAAAAACUAAAUUGAAAUUUUUAAAAGGAUAUAUUAAAUAAAUUAAUAAUUUAUAAUUAGAUAAGAAAUAAAUAUUUUUUAUAAAAAAAUAAAAUACUUUAAUUUAAAAGGACAUUUUGGUCAAUCACUUUAAUAGUUUUUGUAGUGAUUAAAAGUUUAAUUGAUACCCCUAAACCAUAACUAAAAAGGAUGGAACCUUUUGCCAGAUUGCUAUUAGUUGUAACAAUCUAAUCUGUUGGCAUCCACCAUUAAUGAUUGAAUAUUGUAGCAAAGACCAUAACAAUUGACUUCCAAUUUUGGUUCUUUUUGUCUUGUUCUUCGUAAUUUUCUUACUGAGUUGGGACUCAAUUGAUGGUUGACGCAAACUCAGUAAAAGGCUUUAACACAGUAUAGAUUAAAAAAAGAUUUAAACUAAAAUUUUUAAAACAAUUUAGGUUAAAUUUAGUUAUUCAAUUAUAGGUAAGUUUUAAUUUUGGUUACUUAACUAAAAAAAUUACAAUUUGAUCACUAAUGCUUUCAAAAUUUUUUUUUUGUCACCUAACUGUUAAGUCAUACUUGUUUUAGUUGGUAUAAUAAUAAUUUCAGUCCUUAAUUUUUUAUAUUUUCUGUCAAUUUGACUCAAUUUUUGUAUAAAAUUAUAAAAAAAACUCAAAAUUAUUUAUAAAAUAGAAAAAUGUAUAUAAAAAUUCUAGAAAAAUAAAAUAUUGAAUAUGUUGUUUCAUAACUAAAUUGUAUGAGAAAUAAAGAAAAUCAUAGUUCAAUAACAUCCAAUAACAAAUUAAAAUCAAAAUAAAAGGAAAAAAAGGUUAAAUUAUUAUAUGUUUCCUGAAUAUUUCUCGAAAAAUAAUUAGGGGUUAAAAUUUACAUGCUUAAAUUAUUAACGAGUCUAUUUUCAAUAGAAACAAAUGGGAACUUCAUCCAAAUUUGUACUAAGAGGUAAUUAAUUUUUAGCAAAGAAUGGUCGAAGUUGUCAGACAAUAGAAUAGGGGUAAGUUUGAAGAUUUUACUGUACUUAUUGGCUAAACCAAAAAUUCUGAAAACUUUAUGGUAGAAAGGUAUCUGAGCCUAUUUCAAAGACAUCAAGUGGAUUUUAAUUCGAAAUUCUGUAGCUCAAGAUAUAAAUAAUUUAGUAGCAGUGACUCAAAUAGACAGUUUUAAAGGAACACAUAAGUAAAUAGUGAAAAACAUAUAUAAAUAUUUAGCUAGCACGAGUUACAUUAAAAAUGGAUCACGCGGCCAAAGCCAAUUUGGGCUGAGUAGGCCACAUGGGCGUGUGAGCCCAUUUUUCUGAAAAGUUCUGUAAGGUUGCACGGGUCGCCCAAGUCAAUUGUGGAUCUACUGUAGGGUCGAUAAGCUCUAUUUAGACCCCUAUAUGUGUGAUUUGUCUGACUGAUUUCUAUACUGAGCAUGACUAUUAAUUGCAUAAUUGCAUGACAUAUUUUGUAUGUUGCAUUGCAUCGGGGUGGGUUGAUGAUAUUUGGAGGAAGUGUCUGAAAGGCUAUUAAGCCUGUUAUCUGGCAGCAUAGCUACAACCUUUUGAUUAUAUGCUGCAUUUCGGUACAGCAUGGUGUGUAGGGAUGUGUGGCUUGAUUUAAUCCCCACAUGGUGUGUAGGGUUGGACGGAGAUGGUGUGUAGAGGCUAGUGGGUAGGAUUCUAAUUUACUGUAUCUGCAUUCUGUAUCUGAUAUGAGUCAAGGCCCUAAUGUAUUUUUGAGACUGUAUCUGAACGGGCUAAGGUCCAAACUGAUUCUGUUGAUUAUCUAUAUGCAUGUUUUAUGUGAGGAUUACACACUGAGUUUGCGAAAACUCACCAGCGGAGGACUCGACAGUGGCCACACGUAAAUUUCGGACUGUUUUCCGUUAAUGCAUAGAAUUUAUUACUUAUUUGAGGUUUUUGAUGUAUCUUCUGGACUAUGGAUUGGUUGGCUUUAAAUUUUGGGAUUUUAUACUAUUUUUUAUGGGUUUUUUUUUAAAUUACAACUCCACAAAACACGGUUUUUUUCUAAAAAAACUAAGGAUUUUCGUAAAUAGAAACGAUUUUCCCUAAAUUAAUUGGUUACAAAAGUUUCCGCUAAGAGACAAAUUUUAAAGCAAAUCAACAAGUUUUUUUUUCUGAAUUAAAUAAAAGCUAACUUACUGUAACGAUUUUUAAACUCGACAAUCUUGUCUUCAAAUCCCUUUCCAUGUGACAUCGCCAGAUUCGGCCAUAACGUCUAGGCCGAGUUUGGGGUGUUACAAAAUUAAUCAUACUUGAUUGGAUUAUGAGAGUGAAUUUUAAUGAAAGAUAAUAUGUGAAGAAAGAAGAGAAAUAAAAGGGAAAUUGUACCAAAAUAUAAAAAUAGAAAAACAAUGGCAGAUUGCUUCAAAUGCAAUAUACGCAAGAAUGUGCUAAAUUGUCUUUUUAAAUCCAAAGUGUGUAUUCAUGCCACAAUUAAAAACCUUUAUAUACCGAUCCCAGAGAAUCAAUUUCACAUGAUUUUACUCCUAGAAUCAUGCUUAACAAGCAACAACUAAAUCAAAAUUUUCUAAAUAUAGAAUUUGUCAAAGUAAAAAAUCUAAUAUUUUUUAUCAACCCAAAAAUAAUUUUGCAACUUUCAAUUCAACCCCCCAACUUGUUUUUUUUUCAAUUUAGCUCGAUCUGUUUGUUUUUGAACUUCGGCACUCCAAUUGUGUCCAUGAUAAAAUUCAGGCAAUAAAUCAUAAGUUUAGUAGAAUUCUAUUAAAAAGUUUACCAAAAUUGGGUAUAUUAAAUAUAUAAAAUUAGGUUGCUAUCAGAUUUGGAACUAAUUAAUAAUAACAUAUGAAAUAUGUAUUAUAUUAAAAUAAAAAUUAGAAUAAAUUGUGAGUAAAACGAAAUCUAAACAAAAAAACACAUCAGAUUAAAAAUACUAAAUGAAUACAAUUGUUUAUCAUUGUUUUGUCUUCAAUCCUGAGUUGGUGUUGUGUUUAUUUGUGACACUAAAUCAAUAACAUUUUUUAAUAAAUAAAAAAUUAGAAUACAUAUAUACUUAUUAAAGUUUAAAGUGAAAAGUAAAAAGUAAAAAUUGCUUUAGUUCAAAAGUAAAUGAAAAAUAUUUAUAUGCAUGGUGUCCUUAGUUCAAAUCUUGUAAUGGAUAAUUUUUUAUUGAUUUAUAAAUAUAUGAAAAGACGAAAAUACCCUCAUAAUCAUAUAUCUUACUUUGCAAAUAAAAUCUUGAAUAUAUUGUUGAAUGGCUAAAUUGUAUGAGAAAUAAAAGCAAUUAUCAUUCAAUAGAAUCCACUAUCAAUUUAAAAACAAAACAAAACCAAAUUAGUAAUAUUAUCAAGUUGAGUUUCAUGUCUUUGAAGCACAUCUAGAACUGAUAUAACAGAAGCUUAUGAAAUUGAGCUUGAUGCCAUUUUUUAGUAUCAAGAAUACAAAAUAUACCACAAAAUUUUAUUACAUUUAAAUUAGUAAUAUUAUUCACGUCUUACAAACAUCAUAUGUAAGAACAACUAUAUUUUUUUGCAGGAAGCCGACUAGUAUAUUUAAUUUCAACUUGUAACAUGUAAUUAGGCAUUCUUAUACCAUACUUUCCCAUUAUUAUGCUGCUGCUGCUGCUGAUGUUGUUGUUACAAUUGAGCACCAAGAUGACUGCAAAACUUGUUAGUAAUGUCCAGAAUGAAUGGAGGACAUGGCAGAUUAGUGAAUUAUUACAGAUUUAAAGAAAAAUCAAAUUGUAAAUCAGCUGAUAGAUACAACUGCUGAGAAUCAAAUACCCAAAAUGCCAACUAUAAUGGCAGAAGCAAAGGAAAAUUAAAAAAAGAAGGGAUUCCUUACUUAAUACUUCUGCCUUUCUACCCACAACAUUCUUUCUUCUUUCACAAAAUUUCAACCAUCCACUCUACCUACUUUUCUUUCAUUUGCUUCUUUCAUUACAUGCUUUUCUUUGCUUAAUAGUUCUGCCUUUCUACCCACAACAUUCUUUUUUCUUCACUGUUUUUAUUUUGUUUUCAUCUCCAAGGUCUAUCACCAAAUUUCAAGCAUCCCGUCAAAGGUAAUUUUCUUUCAUUUGCGUCAUUCAUGACAUGCUUUUCUUUGCUUCAUUCAUGACUAUGCAAUGAUUGUUUUUUAUUAUCUGCUAGCUUUGUAAAAUAGUCAAGUCAACUUCACUGCUUCAUUUUCAGUUCCAAUCUCUCGACACAUUUCAGCCACUAAGUCAGGUAAAAAGGUAAUGAUUUCCUCUACUGAUUAUCAACAGUUUUAGAUUUUAAGACAGUAUAGGAUGACCGGCAAACAUAAUCUAGCAUAGAUAGGAAUCUCAAACUGUUGAACAUUUUAGCUCUUAAUAUUCCGUAAUGAACUGUUGCACACUUGAAUCUAGCAUUUUAUAUACAUUGAGAGGUUAACUCUGGUGACCAGAUUUUCAUCAUGUUUCUGUCUGCCACCUAUCCAUACCUCCAUCUAAUAAAGGCCAUUGCAUUUAUGCUUCCUUUUCAUGCUUACACUAACAUAUAAAAAAUUAUUCAAAAAUCCAAUACACUAACAUAUAUGAUUGCGUUGCAAGGGCAGAGCAAUGGAAUACGUAGAGCCUGUUGUUGGCAUUGCAAAUUGUCUUGGACCUUCUAUUUGUAAAUACUUGAAAUAUCAUAGAAAGCUGAAUGAUUAUGUGAGAAACUUCGAGAGGAUCAGAGAUGAAUUGCAUUGUAAAAUGGAAGACGUAGAGAUGCAAUUGAAAGCAGAGCUUCUUUCUCCUGGGGGAAGAUACCAAAGCAGGGAGUUGAAAAUUGGUUGAAAGAUGCAAAAGAGAUGAUUGCGGAAGCACAGGAUGUGGAAAAUAAAGUCAGAAAUGGGAGAUAUCUCUGUCGUGCUUGGAACGGAAAGCUGGUUGAUGAAAAGACUCGAGAAAUGAAGGAGUUUCUUGAUAAAGCUCUUAAUGCCUCUGAAGGUCUUGCCAUGGUUGGUCCAAGUACUGGGUUGCCACUGCCAACAUCAGAACUAGUUGGGGAGGAAGCUGCCAAAGAAGAGAUUUGGGCAUGUUUGAUGCAAAAGGAGUUAAAAAAGAUUGGGGUUUGGGGGAUGGGCGGUGUGGGUAAAACCACGAUCAUGAAGCACAUCCACAAUGAUCUUUUGAAAGAACAAAGAUUCAAAAGAGUAAUCUGGGUUACCAUAUCAAAGGAGUUCAAUGUAAUGAAGGUACAAGAUAAUAUUGCAAGUGCGUUAGAGGCAAAGGAAUAUUUAGACAAAGAAGAGGACAAGCUCAGACGAGCAGCAAUCUUGUCAGAAAUGCUGAAGAAAGAAGGAAAGCAUGUUCUAAUCCUAGAUGAUGUGUGGGAUGAAGUCUCUCUAGAAGAAGUUGGGAUCCCUGAGCCGAGUGACAGCAAUGGCUGCAAGUUGGUGUUGACAACCCGUUCGGAGCAUGUCUGUAAGUAUAUGGGUUGCACGGUGAUAAAAGUGAAGCCCCUUUCAGCACAACAGGCAUUGACAUUAUUCUUGAGUAAAGUUGGGCCUAAGAUAGUGCAAAAUCAAACUAUAAUGCCUACUCUAAAGCUUGUUGUCAAGGAAUGUGCGGGUCUACCUCUUACAAUUAUCGUCGUAGCUGGUACAUUGAAAGGAGAAGAGGACCCUCUUAUUUGGAAAAACGCACUCAGGGAAUUGAAAGAGAGAAUAGAAAAAGUGGAAGGAGUGGAAGCUAAAGUGAUAGAGCGUUUGAAAUUUAGCUUCGAUCACUUAAAGGAUGAGAAAGUGAAGUCUUGUUUCUUACAUUGCGCAUUAUAUCCCGAAGAUUUUCAAAUUGAAAAGGAUGAACUAAUUGAGUGCUGGAUUGACGAGGGAUUCAUAGAUGAUAUGGGUACAAGACAAGAAAUGAAUGACAAGGGUCAAGUUAUUUUGAAGAAGUUGGAAGAUAAUUGCUUGUUGGAAAAUGUCUCGCGUAAAAGAGUAAAAAUGCAUGAUACAGUGAGAGAGAUGGCAUUGUCGAUCACAAGAAUGAAUCCUCGAUAUAUGAUACAAGCAGGUUUGCAAUUAGAAGAGUUACCAGAAAAGGAGCAAUGGAGUCCGGAUAUUGAGAAAGUGUCACUUAUGUAUAACUCCAUAUCAGAAAUUUCCAUAGAUGUGCUGCCCACAAAAUGUCAACUGCUCACAACCUUGUUAUUGCAGCAUAACCCUAUAAAGAAGAUUCCAUAUUCUUUCUUCAUAAACAUGCCUUGUCUUUGUGUCCUAAAUUUGUCCUAUACAGAGAUCGAGAGUUUACCAAAUUCCAUCUCUGAACUAAAGAACCUCACAACAUUGUUGCUUUGUUGUUGUUAUGAAUUAAGAGAUCUACCAUGUCUUUCGAUGCUUCAAGAAUUGAAGAAGUUGGAUCUAAGUUGGACUAAAAUUGAGGAAGUCCCUGAAGGCAUGGAUAUGUUGAUAAAGCUAAGAUAUCUUGAUCUUAGAGUGCGCACUCUGAAAGAGAUACCCGCUGGACUUUUACCAAAACUCGUUCACCUUCAGCACUUGGGUUUUUAUGAGAACAAUGAAAAAACAAGUCUAAAAGCAGAGGAGUUGGAACCAUUGAAGAAGUUGGAGUACUUUACCGGACGUUUCGAAGACAUCAAUGAAUUCAAUAAGUUCAUUUCCUCAAUGCAACAAAGUAAGAAAAAUCUCAUCAAGUACCAUUUACAGGUGGGCUCAUCUUUUAUGCUUGCUACAAUAGAUAAAACAGUAACAAUUGGAGGAGUCCAGAAUUGGGAAGGUGAGUCAAUUAUGCACCCAAUUGAAAUUCAACAGUUGAAUAUUUCAAGUUGCAACUAUUUGAGAAACUUAGUCGAUGAUAAUUCUUCCUUCAAAAAUGUGAUUGGCUUGAGGGUUUGGGUUUGUGAAGGGAUAGAGUGUGUUGUUUCCCUGUCCUCUUUUGCCUCUUCUUCCACUCAUCCAUUUCAAAGCCUCGAGGUGUUAGAUCUUGGAGAUCUGCCAAAAUUGAGUGCCCUUAUUAUGAAAGAUACAGGAAUUCGUUCAGCAACAACAUCAACAUCGGCUCCGUCUGCCACAUUUUCUCAUCUUAAGGAAAUUAGGAUAUACAAAUGCUCAGGUAUGAAGACGUUGCUUCCACAUUGGUUGCUUCCAAACCUCCAAAACCUGGAACUAAUUUCUGUGGCAGAUUAUGAUGAGUUAGUAGAAAUAUUGGGAGCAGCAACAUCGGAAGUUGAAGAAAAAGGGAGUGAUGCAUUAAUCAAAUUCCAUCUUCCCAAAUUGAGACAGUUGACACUCUGGGAAUUACCAAAUUUGAAGAUCAUAUGCAGCAAAAGUGGAGUGAUGGUUUGUGAUUCUCUCCAACUUAUCCAUAUUACUAGAUGUGAUAAACUGAAGAGAAUUCCUCCAUUUGUUCCCCUUGUUGGCAAUGGGCAGCCAUUUGCAUAUGCUCCACCUUCUCGUACCAUCACGUCAAGGAAAGAAUGGUGGGAAUCGUUGGAGUGGGAUGACCAUCCAAACUUUAAAAAUGUUCUUCAACCCCUUUGGUGGUGAUGUUGAAGAGAAAGAUAAAAGGGUUUGUAGGAAAGGAGGAAGGAUAGUGCAAAAGAGAGGAGAAAAGGAAUGAUGGAAGGAAGAGGUUAAGAGACACCACAUUGUAAACAUUGUCCCUCUCUUACCAUUCCUUCUUUUCUCUUUUUCUUAUAAUGUACAAGCUGAAGAGGUAAGAAAACAAAUAAAUUUGCUUCAUAUUUUUUCUAUGUUUGUUUUGAAAGAAAGAGAAAUAUGGUAGGGUUUAAAAAUAAAAUAUAAUUUAAAUAUCAAUUGAUAAAUUAAGUCUAUUCAAAAUAAUGGUAUUUUAGGUAGCAAAGGUAUAGAAAAUUUAAAGUGAUAAAUUACCUUUUUUUUCAUUAUAAAUAAAUACCAUAAUUUCUUUUUAUGCUGAAAAUUUUUUUGAAAAUUUAUCAAUUUAUAUUGUUUUUUACAAAUAGAAAGGAAAACGCGUCUUAUAGGACAUGUUUUCUCCGAUCUUCCAGAGAAAACAUGAGACACGUUUUAUUCUCUUUCCUAAAAAGCGCUUUGUAGGAGCAACUAAGGACAAUUAAUCACGACGUUCAUGUGUUUCGUCAAUUGUGCAUAAUUUUGAUUGGUAAAAUAACACAUUUAGCCCUUGAUGUUUACAUAUUUUGUUAGUUUGGUCUUGAUUCUAAAAAAAAUUCAACAAAUUCAGUCUCAACAUUUACACAUAUACAAAAAUAUGACAAGCUAAAUUUGUUAUCAUAUCAAUCAAAUUUAUGUAAAAUUGAUGAAAAACAUUAAUAUUGUGAUUAAUUGCUCACUUUUGAAAUUGGUAGGGAUUAAAUUGCUUCGAUUUGUUUAGAGGGCCCAAGUUGCCGAAUAUCAAAAUUGAAAGGGACUAGAGAGGUAGUUUUACCUAGUUUAAUAAUUAAAUGACAUGUUAAAUCUUAUGUGACAUAAUUUAAAAUGAAAAUUAAAAAAAAAAGGAAGAUUGUAAAAAUAGUUGUUAUAAAAAUCAUGGUUUUGAAGUUUUUACAAAUUUUUUAUUGUUCAUUUUUUUUUAAUUUCAGUUUUAUUUAAUUUUAGUUUGUUUAAAAUUUUCAUUUUAAAAUUAGCUAUAUAAAAUUUAACGUGUCAUUUAAUGAUUUUAAUAGUAAAAUGACAUGAUUAAUAUAACAUCAAUAGUUUAGAAAUGUAAUUAGAUAAGUUUGAAGUUUGAAAAUAGAUUUAAAAUAAUGGUCAUAAUUUAGGGGUGGUUGAUUUAAUUAACUCAUUUCUAAUGGUACUAAUAAUUAAGUCUGCUAUAGGACAAAGUGAAAAAGUGGAAAGCAGAGUUAAAAUAUGACUCAAAGACUCACCUUUUUCUAAGUUUGCCAUUACCAAACGAUGAAGCAAAAGAAAUGAAGGGCCAUUACCAGAAUUUCAUCAUGUUUCUGUCUGCCACCAAUCCAUAGCUCCAUCUAAUAAACGCCAUAGCUCCAUCUAAUAAACGCCAUUGCUUGAAACUUGCAUUCAUGUUUCACUUGCAAUCAUUUUCGUGUCCACCUUCAACCAUCAGCCAUCACUCACCAUUGCUUAAGCUAUUUUGCAUUUUAGACCAUAAAUUACUGAGUUGAAAACUAUAGUGUCGUUCUGCAGCCUUUUUUGGUCCAGGCAGGGCAGGCUGGGCUCAAAAAUUUGGGUCGACCUUGAAUAAAACAUUUAAUCCCAUAUUUCAUAUUAGGCCAAGCUUGAGCAAAAAUAACAGUUAGCAAUACCUUGUCUAAGCCUGAGCCAAAUCCGGCCCAUGAGAUAAAGCAUUCAGAUUGAACUACCGGUAACAUUAUGAGUUUUUGGUCCAUCCUUCAUGGGGAUGCAAAGAACAAAAUUAACUAACUUUUGCCACUAUAGAAUGUUUGUUCAACUAAAUAAAAUAAAGAUUGCCCUAUAACUCUAGUUCCAUUCAAGUAAAAACUUCUUCAGGCAAGAUAAUAGUAACAUAAUGCUAAAAGAACCAGCACAACCACCCCAGCAGGAGCUGCCCAUAUCCAAUAGUUCAUCGACUUGGUUCUUUUGGUUCGAUUCCUGUACCUACUAGUAUUCUCCUUUAGUACUUUACCCUUCAUUGAAACGGUAGCAGGAACAGGUGCAUCAGUAUUAACAUCGACCUUCUCGGGUUCUGAAUCUUGUGCCACAGCUUCAAUCAGUUCUUCGAGAUUCACAGCAUUUGUCGAUCCUGCCACCUUCUUCUUAGCUCUCUUUUCACGCUCCUGAAAAAAAGAUCGAAAGAGUUUCAGUUUCAACCCACAAACUAAUAACUGAUAAAGCGAAACUAGAUAAGGAAGCAAAUGAUUUCCUUGAGCUUCUUUUCAGCUUCCAUUUAAGCUCUUCUAGCUGCUUUGGCUGCUGCUUUUUCAGCCAACUUCUUUUUUCUUUCCAUAGCUUACUUUGCUUUUGCUAUUUCCUCUUCUCUCUUCAAUUCUUUCAGUUUUGCUGCAUCGACUUCCUUGUUCUUUUGCAAUUUUUCGGAUACCAAAAUUUCCUCUGCUACAACACUAAUAUCUGACAAAGGAUUCGACUCCAUUGCUAUAGUCUCGACAUGUUUUGGGGCCUUUUUUGCUAGUUUCGUAUCUGUUUGGGGACUUGAUUUGGCCUCUUCCUUUGGUUAUCUUACACUAGGUCUCAGAAUUGUUUCGGUUUCAGAAUCCACUAGUUUCUCGGGUGCAACCAGUGGUUUCUCAUCAAGAUUCCUUAUUCGACCAUCCCGACUCAAUAGCCGACUGUCCAGGGAUGGCAAAAUUUUUUUCUCAUAAUCAUCCCUAAAGGCUUUAUUGCCAUUCCAGAGAGCCAUAACCUUCUCAACCUAAAAUUAUAAAGCAAAUGAGAUACAUUGGAAGUAACAUUAACAAGCAGUCUCAACAAACCUCCACAAUUGAUAACUCCUCAAGAGCCUUUAUAUCUUUCUGUGCAGCAAGUAAUUUGGCGUUGUGUACAAUGGUACGACUCUGGUAAAAGUGAGAAUUCUGAAAUUUUGAGAAAGAAAGUAAUUAAAAUGAUUCAUUAGUAACAUCAUGCACAGGAAUAUUGGAAGAAGACAUAAUAUGUAUCAUUUAAUAUCUUAAGUGAUACUAGUUAUCCAUGCAUAAAUGAAAAUGUUCCGACAUGGUCAAGUAUUAUACGAAACAGAUAUCUUAAGAGUUGAAGCAAAGAAAAGGCGAUACCCCCUGAUCACUUUGUUUCCUCAACUCCUAAAUGUUUUCAAAAGCUUUGUGCCUCUUCAGGGUCACAGCUUUCAGCUCAUUUUGUAAAGUGUUGAAUGUAGUUCCCAUGCAAGAUGCUUCCCAUGCAAAGGUGGCCAUGCAAGAAACAAAGGAGCAGCAAUCAGUCGAGCCACGGUGUGCAGCAACUGGAGCUGAAGCUGUCGAACCACUUGCUGUUUUUAGUUGCAUUUUGAUUAUUUUGUAAUCUAGUUCAUGUUGAACUAAGUAGGUGGAUGUUUUGAUGUAAUUAGGUGCUGAAUGACAAGUUUAGGUGACUUGUUAUGAGUGUUCAAACAAGUUUACCAAGUUACUAGGCAAAUUAGUGGUGUUAGGUAUAUUAUUAGGUGAUAACUUGUUUGUUUUGUUUUGUUAACUCUUAUAUGUAUUGGCAUUAUGCCUCUUUUAAUAGUUAAUGAAAAUUUAGCUCAUUUUUAUUCAAAUUUUAUCUCUUUCAUUCUCUAUUUUCUGUUGCAAAUUUUUCUUUCUUCUUCUGUUGUUUUUGCUGCAAGCCUCGAGGCUUGCUGUCCAAGCAAAGCUGAAAUCAGCUUGCUGCUGCCUCUUGCACCAACAAUUGGUAUCUAGAGCUCUUAUCUUAGUGGACCUGUUGCUUCAAACCAAGGAAUCUGAUGGCUUCUUCAGGAUUUUCACCAGCAGCCCCACUAGUCUUCAAUGGAGAAGGCUUCCACAUAUGGCUGGUAAAGAUGAAGACUUACCUGCAGGCCUUUGAUCUGUGGGAAGUUGUCAACACAGAUUCUGAGCCAGCACCACUGAGGGCCAAUCCCACAGUAGCUCAGAUCAGGCAACAUGCUGAUGAGAGGACCAAAAGGCAUAAAGCCAUGUCCUGCAUUCAGAACUGUGUGUCAGAUGUCAUCUUCACCAGAAUUAUGGCCUGUGAGACUCCAAAACAGGCCUGGGACAAGCUUAAGGAGGAGUUUCAAGGCACUGAGAGGACAAGGCAACAGCAGCUGUUGAAUUUGAGAAGGGAUUUCGAGAAUCUGAAGAUGAAGGAAGAAGAAACAGUGAAGCAGUAUGCAGAUAGAACCAUGGCAAUGGUUAACAGUAUAAGGCUCCUUGGUGAGCACUUUGAUGAGGCAGGAAUAGUGGAGAAAGUCCUCUCCACUUUGCCUGAGAGAUAUGAGGCCAAAAUAUCCUCUCUAUAGGACUCAAGAGAUCUGGCUAGCAUCUCUUUGACUGAACUGAUUAACACCUUCUAUGCUUAGGAACAAAGGAGAGCCAGUAGAGCUGAAGAUCACCAGGAAGGUGCAUUUCAAGCCAAGGCAAGAGAGGCCUCGAGCACCAAUGCUCAAAGAGGCAAAAAGCCUUGGAAAAGUAGGCCCAAGUCUAAUGCUGCAAGGAGCAAUGACCAGCCCUGCAGACAUUGCAAGAGGCCAGGCCAUCCAGAAGACAGAUGUUGGUUCAGGCCAAAUGCAGUAUGUCAACACUACAAGAAGAAAGGCCAUGUUGAAAGGGUUUGCAAAAAAAAAACCAAGCCGAGGCAGAGUCAAUAUCAACAACCAAAGGUUGAAGCUCGAGUAGCUGAGGACAGUAGUGACCAAGAAGAGCAGGUCUUUGCUGUUUCUUGCUUAGCUGCUGAGAAAAAAUGUUCAAAAGGCUGGUUAUUGGACAGUGGUUGCACUAACCACAUGUCACCAGAUGCUUCCUUGUUUAAAAUCUUGGAUAGAAGUUGCAAAACCAAUGUCAAGGUUGGAAAUGGUCAGUUCAUAAGGGAUGAAGGAAGAGGAGAGGUGCUGAUAUGUACUCCUACAGGCAAAAAGGUCAUUCCAAAUGUGCUUUUGGUACCUGAAAUUGACGGAAACCUUCUCAGCAUAACUCAACUGCUUGAGAAGGGCUAUUCCGUUGUGUUCAAGGAUAAAAAGUGUCAGAUUGCUGAUCUAAGUGGAUCAAGCCUUAUGACAGUCACAAUGACUGAUAAAUGCUUUGAAGUUCAUUGGCCAAAUGACUCAAAGUCAGCAUACACAGCCUCUGUUGAUGAUUCCAAGCUUUGGCAUCAAAGGCUCGGGCAUGCCAACUUUAAAUCAAUGGCUCGAAUGGCCAAAGAGGGCUUGGCAGAGAACUUCACCGCUCAGUGGAGCAUGAUGAUGUGUGUGAAGUGUGCCAAAUGGGAAAACAGGAAAGACUGCCAUUUCCCACAAAUUCAGCAUGGAGAGCCAUUGAAAAACUGCAGCUGGUGCACUCUGAUGUAUGUGGCCCAAUGAGGACUGAAUCACUCAGCAAAAACAGGUAUUUCAUCCUCUUCAUUUAUGAUUUUACAAGGUUUUGCUGGAUUUUUUUCUUGAAACACAAGUCUGAGGUAGCUCAAGUGUUUGUGAAGUUUAAAAUGGCCGUUGAGACAGAAACAGGUUGCAAGCUGAAAUCGAUAAGGUCAGACAAUGGCACUGAGUACACUUCAGCUCAGUUUCAAGCCAUUUGCAAUGAUGCUGGCAUCAAACACCAGCUUACAAAUGUCUACACACCUCAGCAGAAUGGGGUAUCUGAAAUAAAGAACAGAAGUCUGAUGGAUAUGGCCAGGUGUCUGUUGUUUGAGAAGAAACUGCCCAAGAUCAUGUGGGCUGAGGCAGUAAACACUGCUGUCUACCUUCAAAAUAGGCUUCCUACCAAAGCUCUUGCUUCCAAGACACCUUUCGAGGCUUGGUUUGGAUUCAAGCCUUCCUUAGCACACCUGAAUGUGUUUGAUUGCCUGUGUUAUGCACAAAUACCAGCAGCAAAGAGGGACAAGCUCUCUGAAAGGGCUCAACCCGGUGUUCUAGUGGGCUAUAGCUUAGUCAAGAAGGGCUACAGGGUUCUGGAUCCCUUGACAAGCAAAGUCCAGGUAAGCAGAGAUGUCAUCUUUAAUGAAAAGGCUUGCUGGAAUUGGGAAAAGAGUGAACCAGAAGCUAUUUUAGAAGACCUGGUGCCUAAUCAAGCUGAACUCGAGCAGCUUGGUCCUGAGAUGGAUGUUGAUGAUGUGCCUGUGAGAGGUACAAGGCCUCUAGAUGAGAUUUAUGAAAGGGCACAGGUUGCUAUAGCAGAACCUAGCAGUUUUGAAGAAGCUGAGGCAAAUGAAGGCUGGAAACAGGCCAUGGUUGAUGAAAUCAACAUGAUUCAAAAGAAGUAGACAUGGGAGCUAGUUGACAAGCCUGUUGGAAAAAAGACCAUUGGAGUAAAAUGGGUCUAUCGAGCAAAACAAAAUGCUGAUGGCAGUCUAAACAAGCUAAAAGCCAGGCUUGUUGUCAAAGGAUUUAGCCAAAGGUAUGGUAUGGACUACCUAGAGACUUUUGCACCAGUAGCCAGGCUUGACAUAGUCAGAAUGAUAGUUGCCUUAGCUGCUCAACAUCAGUGGACCAUUCAUCAGCUUAAUGUGAAGUCUGCAUUUCUCAAUGGUUUCCUGGAAGAAAAGAUCUACAUCGAGAAGCCUCAAGGGUUUGUGAUCACUGGCAAAGAACACAUGGUGUACAGGCUAAAAAAGGCCUUGCAUGGCCUGAAGCAGGCUCCUCGAGCCUGGUAUGCUCGAAUUGAUUCCUACUUGCUCAGUUUGGAGUUUGAGAGAAGUGCCAGUGAACCAACACUGUAUGUGAAGAAAAAUCAAGCUGAGACUCAGCUUAUCCUGUCACUCUAUGUUGAUGAUUUGUUGGUAACUGGAGGAGACAAGAACAUGUUGCAUGAUUUCAAGAGGAAAAUGAUGAAGAUGUUUGAGAUGUCUGAUCUAGGCAGAAUGAACUACUUCCUAGGAAUGGAAGUGAAGCAAACAGCAAAUGGAAUCUUCCUCAGCCAGAGUUCAUUUGCUAUGAAGGUCUUAAACAAGUUCUCGAUGAAGAACUGCAAGCCAACAAGCACACCAAUGGCUGUUGGAAUGAAGCUAUCGAAACAAGAAACUGGUGAACCAGUUUGUGAGACUAUGUACAAGAGUCUCAUUGGUAGUCUACUGUAUUUGACUGCAACAAGGCCCGAUAUCGUGUUUACAGUUAGUGUGCUAUCCAGAUACAUGAAUUGCUACAACAAUCAGCACUUUCAAGCAGCUAAAAGAGUACUGAGAUACAUCAAAGGCACCAUUGAUCAUGGUGUGUUGUUCAAAAGGGUUGAAAACAUGAAGUUAACAGGUUAUGUCGAUAGUGAUUGGGUUGGAUUGUGUGAUGACAUGAGAAGUACAUCCGGAUAUGCAUUCAGCCUUGCUGGAGCUUCAAGAAGUACAUCUGGCCUAAUGAAUCUUGAAUCUUUGAUCUCAUUGCAGCAUUAGCAAUAACUUUCUCGCGGGAUCCCUCCAGGUGUUUGAUUUCUUUAAGGAUUCGCUUCUCCUCACUCAACGAGAUGCUUUCAUGCUGAAUGCGAUAUUGCAAGCUAUGGAUCUGCAAUUCAUAAAUUCCAUUGAAGUGACUAAAGGAGAAAAAGAAAAGCAUUAACUGCGGCAGCAAACAAUGAAUAAAUCUAAAUGCAGUCAAAGUUUAUAGAAGUAUCAUACAAUAAAAUCGAGCUCUUCCUGAGAUGCACAUAAACUAAGUCGAUUAUUAACAUUUUUAUUAUUGCGAAGCUUGCCCAAAGCCUACUGCAGUGGUUCUAUUUCCUUUUUUUUCUCAUCUAAAAUCGUCUUAAAUUGCUCAAAAUCAACAUUCAGCGCUCCCACUUGCGAAAGCAUCUCUGAUCGUUCUGCCUGCAUUAGCAUAAAGAUAAUCACAAUUUAGCCAACUGACAGCGCCAUUAUUUUUUACUUCUUUCACAUUUUUUCUCAAAUUCUGAAGGAAACACAACAAUAACGAAUCAUUAUACCAAUAGCAUAUCUGUAAGUGUCAUUACUUUUCAAGGACAUAAAUUUCAAACAUUCAAAUAAAUACAAAUAGUAACAAUUUAGGGUCAAAAUGUAAAUUUUCAAUUUUUGUAUUUUUUUGAUUUGUUUAUUAUUAUUCUACUAUUAUUAAUAUAUCAUAAAAAUAAAAAAAAUAAAAACACUAAUGGGCUAAAACCCAAACAAGUCCAAAAUUAAACCCAAGUAUACAAUCACAACGGGCCCAAUCAUUUUGCCCAGCCCAAACCCGUAAUUUGGAAAAAAAAUUAAAACACGAAAUCUGAACCGGACAAAAUUUAGUGAUUACAAGUACCCCUCUUUGCUCAUCACUAUGAAACAGGAAUAGAGUAAAAACUUAAAAGCACUGAAUUUUGUUCUAUUAUCCAAUUGUUUUUUCAAAGGAACUUGACUCAUGAUGCAAUUUUGAAAGUAACGAUUACUUCGGAAAAAAAUCCACUUGACAACGAAUUGGAAAUUAAAAUACCUCGGCAAGUAAUAAAAACUGAAAUGGAUUUGGAUGGAACCAAAACUUUGAAAACAAAUAAAAGAGUGAAAUUUAAAAUACCUCGGCGUGCAACCCGGGGCUCAACUCACCUCUCGGAUUAUAAGUUGAUCUUUAAAAAACAACAAUUGAAAAUACGUUAGUGUGCGACCCUAGGCUCAACUCACUUCUCGGAUUAUGAGUUGAUUUUCAAAAAAUAGAAAUUAAAAAUACCUCAACGUGCGACCCGAGGCUCAACUCACCUAUCAGAUUAUGAGUUGAUUUUUGAAAAAUAGAAACUGAAAAAUACCUCAGCGUGCGACCCGAGGCUUAGCUCACCUCUCAGAUUAUGAGUUGAUUUUUGAAAAAUAGAAAUUGAAAAAUACCUCAACGUAUGACCUAAGGCUCAACUCACUUCUCGGAUUAUGAGUUGAUUUUUGAAAAAUAGAAAUUGAAAAUACAUCAGUGUAUGACCCGAGGCUCAACUAACUUAUCAAAUUAUGAGUUAAUUUUUGAAAAACAGAACUUGAAAAAUACCUCAACAUGCGACCUGAGGCUCGACUCACUUCUUGGAUUAUGAGUUUAUUUUUAAAAAAGAGAAAUUGAUAAAUACCUCAACGUGCGACCCAAGGCUCAACUCUCUUCUUGGAUUAUGAAUUGAUUUUUGACAAACAGAAAGGAAAUUAUUCUUGAAAGAGUCAGAGUUUCGAAAAAGAUUAUCAUGUGAAACUCAAAAGCCUUCUUUUUCAUUGAUUCAGUGUAGCUGCCACCAAAGUCUCUUGCUCUACUAGAAUGCCUGUAUAUGUCAUGUAUGAUGUUAUUAUGAUAUGCACGUGUUUGUCGUAAAUGUUUUUAUGCCUACAUGAUCAUGCCAUGCACCUGGACUGUUUGUCACGUGCCCUUUUUUGGUCAUGAUUUUCGUGAGGGUCCACAUUCAUUGCCUCAAUCCUUGACUUUUCUCUCAGAUUUUGUACUUCUCCUCAAGUUCUUGUCAUUAACCCACAUUUCUUCGUAUAUUGCCCUCUUGCCCCCUGUUAAACAUUGCUUUUGCUUCGAAGUCUUCGAUCUUUAAUACUAACACAUCGAGAUAUAUUUGAUGCAUAUGUAUCUAGAACAUUUAUAUCCUUCAACACCAUGCAGAACACUUCUUUCUCUAUAUUUAACAUUGAAAAAAAUAGAAGGCGGCAACCGAUAUUUCCCAUUCGAAAGUGCUUGGGGAUGAAGAAUUUGUCGAAUUCCCAUGUGGACUAAAUCAAGUCAACUCUGAAAAUUAUCUUUCGAUUUUCCAUUGACAUUCAAAAUUGUCCCGAUGAUGUUCUCGCAAACAUUUUUCUCAAUGUGCAUGACAUCAAGAUUGUAGCGUAAAAUGUGAUGCUCCUAAUAAGGCAACUCAAAAAAAUACUUCUUUUUUUCCACAAGUCUGUCUCAUUAGGAUCAUCCUCUUCAUCAGAUUCAUCAUUUGAUCUUCUAUUUCUUUGUGUGUUCGGCAGUUGGUUCAUCAGAUUUUAUUUUUUUACUUCUAUUUUUCCAGAAGUUUCGGUACUAAUUUACUUCUGUUGACUUCUGUUUUGUUUACUUUUGUUUUUUUACUUCUGUUUUUUCGGUACUAAUUUACUUCUGUCUUUUUUUUCCAGAAGUUUGCUUUGAAAUUGAGGAAAUUUAAUGUAUUUAUUCCUAUGUUUCCCUAAUUAGUUUUCUUAAAAAAAACAUCUCCAAUUGUUUAAAUUUUUGUAUGGUUAUGUUUUAGCUUUAUAGUUUAAUUAUUAUUUUUGAGUUUUAAAAAGGAGUUUUAAUUACCAUUUUAGCUUUAAAACCUCUAACUAUCGAUUUUAAUUAUCAUUUUUGCUUUAUAUGUUUCUAGCUCAAUUUGCACGUAACUUCUAGAAAUUUGAGUCAAAGAUCUCUUCACUUGAGGACUCGAGAGAUUUAUCAGCUAUCUCACUGUCUGACCUGAUAAACUCUUUGUUUGCACUUGAGCAAAGGAGAGCAAAUAGGCACGAAUAACAACCUGAAGGUGCUUUCCAAGCAAAAGCCAAUGUAGGCUCAAGUCCAAAUUUGAAAGGCAAGAAGCCCUGGCACAACAGAAGAGACAAACCAAGAAGAGAUGAAGGAAAAGGGGUGUUUCCACCAUGCACUCACUACAAGGAGCCAACACAUUCAGAGAGGUAUUGCUGGUAUAGGCCAGACAUUCAAUGCAAGAAAUAUAAACAGUUUGGCCAUGUGGAGAAAAUGUGCAAAGGCAAGGGAAAGGAGGAUGCUCAGCAACAAGCUCGACCUGCUGAGGACCUUCAAGCUUAGAAGGAGCAUGUGUUCACAGCAUCCUGUUUUGUCAGCACAACAAAGGCCAAAAGUGAUUGGUUAGUGGACAGUGGCUGCUCACACCACAUGGCAGCUGAUGAAAGGCUGUUUAAGGACCUAGACAGAAGCUUUACCUUGAAGAUCAGAAUUGGAGAUGGAAACUUGAUUGAAGCCAAAGGCAAGGGUAAUGUGUUAGUAAGCACUGGUUCAGGUAAUAAACUGAUUACUGAUGUGCUCUUUGUGCCUGAUAUAGAUCAGAUUUUUCUUAGUGUGGGCCAAUUAGUGGAAAAAAGUUAUACCUUAGUCUUUAGAAAUGGUUGUUACAUUGUUCAAGACUCACUUGGUCAGGAACUGGUUACUGUAGCUAUGAAUGAUAGAUGUUUUAUGUUGGAUGUAAGUCAAGUAGAGAGAAAGGCUUACACCAGCCUUGCUGGUAGCACUGAUCUCUAGCAUAGGAGAUUAGGCCAUGCUAAUUUCAGGUCUUUUGAUCUAUUGCAUAGGCUAAAUUUGGUUAAUGACAUGUCUAAAAUUGAAGUUAGUGGCACUGUUUGUGGGGUUUGCCAGCUUGGUAAGCAGGCUAGAUUGCCUUUUCCUACUGAUAAUGCUUGGAGAGCUCAGGAGAGGCUCGAAUUGGUGUAUUCUAAUGUCUGUGGUCCUAUGAAAACUCCUUCAAUAAGUGACAACAAGUAAUUUGUUCUGUUUAUAGAUGACUUAACAAGAUUUUGUUGGGUUUAUUUUUUGAGGCAGAAGUCAGAUGUGUUUAAGACAUUUUGCAAAUUUAAGCCACUUGUUGAGAACCAAUCUAGUUGCAGAAUUAGAGCCUUGAGGACUGACAAUGGCUUUGAAUAUCUUUCUGAUAGAUUUCAGAAGUUGUGUGAAAGUGCUGGGAUUCAUCAUCAACUCACUACUGUCUAUACUCCUCAACAAAAUGGAGUAUGUGAGAGGAAGAACAGAACUGCGCUUGAUAUGGCCAGAUGUAUGUUAUUUCAGAGCAAGCUUCCAAACCAAUUCUGGGUUGAGGCAGUCAACACCUCAGUAUAUCUGCUCAACAGGUUGCCAACUCGAGCAGUCAAAGACAAAGCUCCUUUGAAGGAUUGGCAUGGACUCAAACCAGUGGUAACACACUUGAAAGUAUUUGGUUAUGUGUGCUAUGUUCAUGUUCCAGUGGAAAAGAGAACCAAGCUUGAAAGUAGAGAUGUUCAGGAAUUUUUGUUGGCUAUAGUAGUAACAAGAAGGGCUACAGGGUGUUUGAUCCAUCAACAAAGAAGGUACUGUCAGCAAAGAUGUGAAGUUUGAUAAAGAGAGGGUAUGGAGCUAGAAUGGUGUUGAAGCAGGCUUGCUUGAGGAAAAUCAGUUGGACUUGGUUACUGAACCUACGGAAGAGGGAUCAAAUCUUGAUGCUGUUGAUGAUGCACUAGUAAAAGGCACCAGAACCUUAGCUGACAUUUACCAAAGGUGCAAUGUUGCAGUAGUAGAGCCUACUGGCUAUGAAGAGGCUGUCAAGGAUAAGAACUGGAAGAAGGCUAUGGAAGCAGAAUUGGAGAUGAUCAACAAGAAUUAGACUUGGGAAUUGGUGAACAGGCCAGACCACAAGAAAGUCAUAGGUGUUAAGUGGGUGUUUAGAUCCAAAUACAAUGCUGAUGGCUCAUUGAACAAGCACAAGGCCAGGCUUGUGGUGAAAGGCUACAGUUAGCAGUAUGGAGUUAAUAUCAUGGAGACAUUUGCUCUAGUAGCAAGAUUGGAUACAAUGAAGCUUCUAUUUGCUUUAACUACUUAGAAACAGUAGAAGGUUCACCAAUUGGAUGUAAAAUGAGCAUUUCUGAAUGGCUUUCUCAAUGAGGAGAUUUUCAUCGAGCAACCAGAUGGAUUUAAAGUUGCUAGAGAGGAAGACAAGGUGUACAGGCUGAGAAAGGCACUUUAUGGCCUAAAGCAGACACCAAGGGCCUGGUAUGAUAGGGUUGACACCUACCUGUCUAAGCUCGGGUUUGAGAAAAGUGUUAGUGAAGCUACACUUUAUGUGAAGAAGUCAGAAUAUGAGACAUUGCUGAUUGUUUCUCUUUAUGUGGAUGACUUGCUUGUAACAUGAAGCAAGAGUGAGCUCAUUGAUGAAUUCAAAGUCCAAAUGCAACAAGUAUUUGAAAUGACUGACUUGGGGAUCAUGACUUACUUCCUUGGUAUGGAAGUGCAUCAGUCUGAUCGAGGCAUUUUCAUCAGCUAGCAUACUUUUACCUUGAAGAUUCUUGCUAAGUUUUGCAUGCAAAACUGUAAAACAGUCAGCACACCUGUUGCUCAAGGUGAGAAACUGACUAGUAAUGGAGACAAGGAAAGGGUUGAUGAAAGACACUAUCGAAGCCUAGUUGGUUGUUUGCUAUAUCUAACAGCAGCUAGACCAGAUAUUAUGUUUGGUGUCAGUUUGUUAUCAAGAUUUAUGCACUGCUGUAAUGAGGCUCACUUGAAAGCAGCAAAGAGGGUUUUUAGAUACAUUAAAGGGGCUGCAAAUUAUGGUGUGAUAUUUGAAAGUGGAAUAGAGCUAAAACUUGAAGGAUAUUCAAACAGUGACUGGGCAGGUUCUCUUGAUGACAUGAAGAGUACCUCUGGCUACUUUUUCACACUUGGAUUGAGUGUGUUUUGUUGGAGUUCGAAGAAGCAACAGACUGUUGCUCAGUCCACAGCUGAAGCAGAGUACAUUGCAGCUGUAGCAACUGUUAACCAGGCCAUAUGGCUCAGGAAACUCCUUCAAGAUCUCAAUGAGAAUCAAGUUGAAGCAACUGAAAUUUGGGUGGACAAUCAAUCGGCAGUUGCUAUAGCUAAAAACCCUGUGUUUCAUGGAAAGACUAAGCACUUUAAGAUUAAACUUCAUUUUGUUCGAGAGGCUGAACAAACAAGAGAAGUCAGCCUUGUUCAUUGUAUCCCAGGGGCUCAAUUGGCAGACAUAUUGACUAAUCCAUUAGCAGCUACUCGAUUUGAAGCCUUGAGAAAUGGAAUUGGUAUGUGUUGCAUACAGUCCAAGGAGGAGUGUUGAAAGUUGGCCUGUAAUGCAACAUGGAACCAGUAGCUAACUAUCAUCGAGUUCAGCAACAGCAAAGCAACAUGAAGUGCAGUAUUUGAGUUUGACCGAAUACAACAGUAGCUUAGUUCAUUUUGUUUCAAUGUAAACUUGUUUAGUUACAAAUUUGUGUAAGAAAGUUAGUAGGAUUAGUCUUUGAUUAGUCCUUGAUGUAAUGGCUGAUUGGUCAGCUACUUUUGUGUAUGAUUUUAGCUAUAAUCUAGUCAUGUAUUAGUGGGGGCAGUUAAGCCAUUAGGUAACUGUCAAGUUGAUAUUUUUUGUAACUCCAAUAUAUUUCAAAAUUUGAAUAAAAAAUACUUGUUGUUCAGUUACAUUUUUCUGAGUGUUCAAGCUUGCUUACUGUUUUCUUUUCUUUUGCUUCGAUUUCCAUUGGUUUUUUCUUUGCAAAUUGGUUCUUUUGCUAUUGCCAAACUUCCAACAAGUGUGUUGUUUCCUUGUCCUCUUUUGCCUCUUCUUCCACUCAUCCAUUUCAGAGCCUCGAGAUGUUGGAUCUUAAACAUCUGCCAAAGUUGAGUGCCCUUAUUAUGAAAGAUGCAGGAAUUCGUUCAGCAACAACAUCAACAAUGGCUCCGUCUACCACCUUUUCCCAUCUUAAGAAAAUUUAUGUAGUAAGAUGCUCAAGUAUGAAGACGUUGCUUCCACAUUGGUUGCUUCCAAACAUCUAAAACUGGAAGAAAUUUGGGUGUUAGAAUGUGAUGAGAUAGUAGAAAUAUUGGGAGCAGCAACAUCAGAAGUUGAAGAAAAAGGGAGUGAUGCAUUAAUCAAAUUCCAUCUUCCCAAAUUGAGACUACUGACAUUCUGGGAAUUACCAAAUUUGAAGAGCAUAUGCAGCAAAAGUGGACUGAUGGUUUGUGAUUCUCUCCAAGUUAUCGAAGUUUUUAGAGAUUGUGAUAAACUGAAGAGAAUUCCUUCAUUUGUUCCCCUUGUUGGCAAUGGGCAACCAUAUGCGUAUGCUUCACCUUAUCUUACCAUCUUCUCAAGCACAUAAUGGUGGGAAUUGUUGGAGUGGGACGACCAUCCAAACUUUAAAAAUGUUCUUCGCUUCAACCCCGUGGAGGAUAAGAGGUAUGAACCAUUUAUGGUUUAGUUUAUUUUUUUAUUUUGAUAAAUCUAAUUUCUCCAUAUUAAUAAAAUUUGAAGUAUAUUUGUGAAGAUGUUGAAGAGAAAGAGAAAAGGGUUGGUGGGAAAGAAGUAGGGGGAGGAUAGUGAAAAAGAGAGGAGAAAACGAAUGAUGAAAGUAAAAGGUUAAGCAAAGGUAAAUAAGAAAUAAAACUACCUCCACUUUUUAAACAUUUCCCCCCUCUUACCAUUCCUUCUAUUCUCUUUUUCUUCUCUAAUAUGUACAUAUACUUACCAAAAUAACCUUCUAAAUAUUUAUUAUUAAAAUAUUUAUAUUAAUCAAAAUGAUUUUAGGUGACACAAAACUUAUUUCCAAUAAAAGUUAGGAAAGUAUUGUAAAAAGACAUAAUAUUUUUUAAUUUCCAUGUAAAAUUUUUAGAAACAUUAAGAUUUAAAAAAUAAUAAUUGCUUGUUUUUAAAAAAAUAAUAUUUAUUAAAAAAUAUAAUUGGAUUCAUUCAUAUGUAAACGUAAUGAUAAAGAUUAAAACAAUAAUGUACUUUCAUAAAAAUAUGAUAUUAGAAAUUAAAAGUGGAAAUUAAAUAAUAUAAAUUCCUUUUCUUAAGUAAUAUAAAAAUUGUAGGGAUUAACAUAGUUAAUAAUAUUAACAUAUUUCUAAAAUUAAAUAAUAUUUUAAUUUAUGAGGACUAAAUGUGAAAAUGAAAAAGGUGAAAUCCCUUUUAAAAUAAAUUAAAAACAUUAAGGGGAUUAUGUUGCAAAUAAGCCCUCCACGUUUCCCAUAUAUAAAAGACAUUUUCCUUUUUCUUUUAAUGUGUGAUGGAUAAGUUGGAAAAUAAAAAUAAAAAAAUACUUAGUUUCCUUCCUUUUUUUCUUGCUUCAUUUUGUUGUCCGACUUUUUUUCAAAGCUGAAGGUUUAAAUUUUUUUAGUCUUAAAUACUGAAAAUAUCAUAGGUUCUCAAUAAUUAUGAGUUUGUAACGCCAGAAAGUUUACAUUUUUAAAAUAUCAUAGGGACACAAACGUGUAUCCAGACCGUGUGUGGCUAUGUUAGUGCAGGGUUCACACAGGCCAAGGACACUGGCGUGUGUCCAGGUCAUGUAACACACUGUUUACAAAAUAAAGAUCACACGGGCGGAUGACACAGCCGUGUGUUAGGCCAUGCGGGACACACGGGCAAGCAAACAGGCAUGUGUCAAGCCGUGUAGGACUACACGGGUGUGCGGGCCAGUUUAUAGAAUUUUUUCAUUUCCUGAACUUCGUUUGAAAUGAAUACAAGCCUUCUGUAAGGCCGUAUGAACUGAAUUAAAUUGUAUAAAUUGAUAUUCUAUUAUCUGAAAUUGAGUACUAAUAAUCUGUGUGUGUAUUGUGUAUGACCAAUGUUAAUAGUAUCGAUCUACUGUAUUCAAGCAUGAAUUGUAUCUAAAUAUCCGCAUCUGUAUUAACUGUCAUGUGAAGUCUGCAUAUGCAUUAGGUGGAAAUUGAACAAGAAGGAAGUAUUAUGUUCUGACAUAACGAUUAAAUUAAUCACUGUCAUAUGUACUCUGAUCUGGGAGCUAGACUGCAAUUUCUGAAACGUGUCAGACCGACCCUAUAUGGUGUGUAGGGUUAGAUGGGUAAUAAGUAUCCUAUUUCAUGUGUUAGGNNNNNNNNNNNNNNNNNNNNNNNNNNNNNNNNNNNNNNNNNNNNNNNNNNNNNNNNNNNNNNNNNNNNNNNNNNNNNNNNNNNNNNNNNNNNNNNNNNNNNNNNNNNNNNNNNNNNNNNNNNNNNNNNNNNNNNNNNNNNNNNNNNNNNNNNNNNNNNNNNNNNNNNNNNNNNNNNNNNNNNNNNNNNNNNNNNNNNNNNNNNNNNNNNNNNNNNNNNNNNNNNNNNNNNNNNNNNNNNNNNNNNNNNNNNNNNNNNNNNNNNNNNNNNNNNNNNNNNNNNNNNNNNNNNNNNNNNNNNNNNNNNNNNNNNNNNNNNNNNNNNNNNNNNNNNNNNNNNNNNNNNNNNNNNNNNNNNNNNNNNNNNNNNNNNNNNNNNNNNNNNNNNNNNNNNNNNNNNNNNNNNNNNNNNNNNNNNNNNNNNNNNNNNNNNNNNNNNNNNNNNNNNNNNNNNNNNNNNNNNNNNNNNNNNNNNNNNNNNNNNNNNNNNNNNNNNNNNNNNGCUUGAAUCUUGCAUUCAUGUUUUCCUUUUCAUGCUUACACUGACAUAUCAAUACUUCAUAAAAUAUCCAAUUCAUUCACAGAUAUUCAUUAUCUGCUACUGUUAUAUAUGCUUGCAUUGCAGGGACAUAGCAAUGGAGUACGUAGAGCCUGUUCUCGGCAUUGCAAAUUGUCUCGGAACUCCUGUUUGUAAAUAUUUGCAAUAUCACAGAAAGCUGAACGAUUAUGUGAGAAACUUCAAGAGGACCAGAGAUGAAUUGAAUUGCAAAAUGGAAGAUAUAGAGCUGCAAUUGAAAGCAGAGCUUCUUCGUCCUCUGGGGAAGAUACCGAAGAAGGGAGUUGAAAAUUGGUUGAAAGCUGUGAAAGAGAUGAUUAGGGAAGCACAAGUUGUUGAAAACAAAGUCAGUAACGGGAGAUAUCUCUGUCGGGCUUGCAACGGGAAGCUGGUUGAUGAAAAGACUCGAGAAAUGAAGGAAUUUCUUGAUAACGCUCCUAAUGCCUCUGAAGGUCUUGCCAUGGAUGGUCCAAGUGCUGGGUUGCCACUGCCAACAUCAGAACUAGUUGGAGAGGAAGCUGUCAGAAAUGAGAUUUGGGCAUGUUUGAUGCAGGAGGAGGUGAGCAAGAUUGGGGUUUGGGGGAUGGGUGGUGUGGGUAAAACCACUAUCAUGAAGCACAUCCACAAUGAUCUUUUGAAACAGCAAAGAUUCGAAAGGGUAAUCUGGGUUACCAUAUCAAAGGAGUUCAAUGUAAUGAAGGUACAAGAUAAUAUUGCAAGUGCGUUGGAGUCGAAGGAAUAUUUAGACAAAGAAGAGGACAAGCUCAGACGAGCUGCAAUCUUGUCAGAAAUGCUGAAGAAGGCAGGAAAGCAUGUUCUAAUCCUAGAUGAUGUGUGGGAUAAAGUCUCUCUAGAGGAAGUUGGGAUCCCCGAGCCAAAUGGUAGCAAUGGCUGCAAGUUGGUGUUGACAACCCGUUCGGAGCAUGUCUGUAAGUACAUGGGUUGUAAGGUGAUAAAAGUGGAGCCCCUUUCAGAAGAAGAGGCAUUGAUACUAUUCUUGAGUGAAGUUGGACCUAACAUGGUGCAAAAUCAAACUUUAAUGCCAACUUUGAAGCUUGUUGUCAAGGAAUGCGCAGGUCUGCCUCUUACAAUUGUCGUUAUAGCUGGUACAUUGAGAGGAGAAGUUGACCCUCUUAUUUGGAAAAACACACUCAGGGAAU
rnacentral:lncRNA from 1 species